rnacentral:rRNA from 1 species
UAGGGAAUCUUCGGCAAUGGGGGGAACCCUGACCGAGCAACGCCUCGUGAGUGAAGAAGGUUUUCGGAUCGUAAAGCUCUGUUGUUAAGGAAGAACGAGUGUGAGAAUGGAAAGUUCAUACUGUGACGGUACUUAACCAGAAAGGGACGGCUAACUACGUGCCAGCAGCCGCGGUAAUACGUAGGUCCCGAGCGUUGUCCGGAUUUAUUGGGCGUAAAGCGAGCGCAGGCGGUUAGAUAAGUCUGAAGUUAAAGGCAGUGGCUCAACCAUUGUAGGCUUUGGAAACUGUUUAACUUGAGUGCAGAAGGGGAGAGUGGAAUUCCAUGUGUAGCGGUGAAAUGCGUAGAUAUAUGGAGGAACACCGGUGGCGAAAGCGGCUCUCUGGUCUGUAACUGACGCUGAGGCUCGAAAGCGUGGGGAGCGAACAGG